rnacentral:ncRNA from 1 species
CGCAAAGUUCCCGAAAGGGGAUGACGCAAAGCUUUAGGGCCUAAAUCGAAAGGAUAUGGUUGCCAGCUGCCG